rnacentral:misc_RNA from 1 species
CACCAAUCAAGCCUGGCUUGGUGUUGGGCCCCGGGGAGACCCGGGCCCCAAAGUUCGCCGGCCGGACGUCCCGGAUCUCAGCGUUGUGGCAUCAAAACCCGCGGAGAGAUGGGGCGGCCGUGCCGUCACAAAACCCAUUUUCAUGAAA